GAUGAAGAACGUAGCGAAAUGCGAUAAGUAAUGUGAAUUGCAGAAUUCAGUGAAUCAUCGAAUCUUUGAACGCACAUUGCGCCCGUCAGUAUUCUGGCGGGCAUGCCUGUUCGAGCGUCAUUACGCCCCUCAAGUCCCCUGUGGACAUGGUGUUGGGGAUCGGCGAGGCUGGUUUUCCAGCACAGCCGUCCCUUAAAUUAAUUGGCGGUCUCGCCGUGGCCCUCCUCUGCGCAGUAGUAAAACACUCGCAACAGGAGCCCGGCGCGGUCCACUGCCGUAAAACCCCCCAACUUUUUAUAGUUGACCUCGAAUCAGGUAGGACUACCCGCUGAACUUAAGCAUAUCAAUAAGCGGAGGA
rnacentral:misc_RNA from 1 species